UGAGGAAUAUUGCGCAAUGGCCGAAAGGCUGACGCAGCGACGCCGCGUGAAGGAUGAAGUUCGUUAGAAUGUAAACUUCUUUUGUAGGGGAUGAAUGUGCCGUUUUGCGGCAUUGACCGUACCCUGCGAAUAAGGAUCGGCUAACUACGUGCCAGCAGCCGCGGUAAUACGUAGGAUCCGAGCGUUGUCCGGAUUUACUGGGUGUAAAGGGCGUGUAGGUGGGUCUCUAAGUCGGUGGUGAAAGCCCGCAGCUCAACUGCGGAAUUGCCAUUGAUACUGGAGGUCUUGAGUACGGCAGAGGGAAAUAGAAUUCAUGGUGUAGCGGUGAAAUGUGUAGAUAUCAAUGAAGAAUACCGGUAGCGAAGGCGGUUUCCUGGUCCGUAACUGACACUGAGGCGCGAAAGCGUGGGGAGCAAACAGGAUUAGAUACCCCGGUAGUCCCUGAGCGGGCUGGCAAGGCGCAU
rnacentral:rRNA from 1 species